UUAUAUACAUAUAUACAUAUAUGUAUACAUUAUAUACAUUAUAUAUUAUAUACAUUGUAUACACACGUUUAUAUACAUAUAUGUGUGUGUGUAUGUGUAUAUAUAUGAUGCUAAAUU
rnacentral:miRNA from 10 species